CUAGCUCUAUGAUUUUAUAUUUUUUUAUUUACUAUUUUACAAUUUAAAAUAUAUCACUUUAAUAUUUUAUAAUUUCUCCUUUUUUUUCUAUUCUUUAUAUUAAUUUUUUUGUUAAUCAAUGAUAAAGUUAAAACUACAUAAUACUAAAAUAAAAAUUUGAUAAAUCAUAGAAUACUAAAGUAAAUAUUCGAUAAAUCAUAGAUAUGGUAUCUGAAGUUUUUUGUAUAUGAUUUAACGAAGAGGUAACGGAGGUACUGACGAAAAGAAAAAAAUUAAACUAUAAAAUACUAAAAUCAUACAUUUUAAAUUAUUGAAUACUAAAGUGAUGCGAAACCACAUGCGUGGUAUUAUAGGACCAUGCCGUUCACAUUUUCCAAUAUUAUUUUUUCAUCUUUGGUGCAUCAUAUAGAAUAUAAAAAUUUAUAUUCUUAAAAUUUUUUUUNUUUUGUAUAUGAUUUAACGAAGAGGUAACGGAGGUACUGACGAAAAGAAAAAAAUAAAACUAUAAAAUACUAAAAUGAUACAUUUUAAAUUAUUGAAUACUGAAGUGAAUAGGUGUGAAACCACAUGGAUGAUUUUGAAAUUACCCAUAAAUAAACCAUAGCUUACAUAGAAGGGUCGGUUUGUGAGAAAAAAUGCAAUAUAAAUGAUAAAAUUUAUAAUAAUGAGCAGGAGAAUAAUUUUAUGUAAAACGAAUGUUUUAAAAAAAUUUUAUUUUUGUAUUUGCAUGCAAUAUGAAGGUUU
rnacentral:lncRNA from 1 species